rnacentral:rRNA from 1 species
GAUGAACGCUGGCGGCGUGCCUAAUACAUGCAAGUCGAACGAACGGACGAGAUGCUUUCUUCUCUGAUGGUAGCGGCGGACAGGGGAGUAAUAAGAGGAGAAUCUACUUAUAAGACUUUGAUAACUACGGCAUGCCGGAGCUAAUACUGGAUAAUAUUUUGAAUCUCAUGGUUCAAAAGUGUAGGACGGUCAUUCUUUCGCUGAUAGAUGGAUCCGCGGUGUAUUAGCUAGUUGGUAAGGUGACGGCUUACCAAGGCAACGAUGCCUAGCCGACCUGAGAGGGUGAUGGGCCGCCAUAGAACGAAGGCGCGACCGAGAAUACUCAGGCAGGCGGCAGCAGGGAAUAUUACGCCAUGGGCGGAAGAAUGCCGGAGCAACGACGCCGGAGUGAUGAAGGUCUCCUGAUCGUAAAAAUCUGUUAUUCGGAAAGAACCAAUGUGUACGCAACUGUGGACAUCUUGACGGUAGCUAAUCAGAAAGCCCCGGCUAACUACGUG